CUGAGAUGGCCAACUAAAAGCAGCUAGUGUGCACUGCUGUCAUGGAGAGGAAUGGAACCUCCUCAACACAGGGGAACCUCCCCAGUCCAGGGAAGUGUUCCCAACUGUUAAUUUGUUAUCCAGUCUCCUCAUGCACCAUAUUGAAAACAGAGCCUUCAGUUAAUCAUAACUCAGAAACCCAUAGCAAAUUGUAAAAAUGGCCACAUCAUAAAGUCUUCUCAUCCUGUAUGCACACUCAUUUAUGACUUUACAGUUCUUCCCAUCAAGAGAUGAAGUCUAUUCUUUACUCCUUGAAUUUGGGCUUAGCUAUGUGACUUACUUUAGUGGAUGGGACAUUAGCAAUGUGUCAGGAGCAAAUGCUUGAAAAGUGCUUGUGCAUUGGAGUUUACUCUCUGGAUGGUCUUUGGAAGCCUGGGACUACCAUAGGAAAAAAUUCAAAACCAGCCUGCUGAUAAGAGAACACGUGGAGCAAAGAUAGCAUCUCAGCUGAAGCUCUCCUAGACCCUCCAGCCACAACCAAGAAAUAAGCCAGCUAACCCUAGACAUCAGCCACGCCAUCUCAGACCAGAAGAAAUGUCCACCUGAUUAAGAGAACAUACUGAGAGCAAUUCACAUGCACAUAACUCACUUCAAAGUCCCAUGGACCCAGCAGGUUUGG
rnacentral:lncRNA from 1 species